CAGGAAGAAAGCUCAAAGACCUUUCCUGUCAGUUUCCCACUUCUCAACAGACAUUGUGGCCUGAACAUGAACACUGCUUCGCUUUGGCUUGAGUGACCACAGUGAAUUGCCUCUCUGAUUUACCUCACUACCCUCUCAAAGACGGAUUUUCACAAGAAACAACCUUGCUCCUUAUUAAACCCUUAUUAAAAUCCUCGGAUGGGGGGCUUCUUCUACUCAUGCAGAAUAAGCCGAUAAUAUAUAGUUUCAUGUGCAGGAACUAUAUAAUAUAUAGUUCCAUGUCCCCCUCCUCCCCGGGAAUAUUCCAUCAUGCAAGUGUGUAGUUUAAUCCAGGCACAAGUUUAUCAUCUCACUUUCUGCUUGUGAGAACUAGAUCAGGACACUGUGGGACAGAGAUAAGAGCAGGUACUAAAAACAGCCUGCACGGACUAAGCUGAGGUGUGCCAAAGUCCAACAAAAGCCUGCCUAGUUCGAUGUUUUCAACUCUUAACUGGAAAGAAAACCAUUCCACCAGUACUACACUGGGUCCAAAGUCUUGCGUGUGGGAUUCUUGAGCAUAUACUUCUAAGAUCUAUUUUGUUAAAGAUUUUCUUAUCCUAGGAUUUGAAAAAUCCCAAGUGCCAAGUACAUAGCAUCUAAAUAUUGUGGUGCCUUGUAUUUCAUCUAUGAUUUCAUUGUAGGGUCUCCCAGAUCCUCCAAAGCACGAAACUUAUUUAUCAUUUCACAUACAAGACUUUUUUUAUCACAAAAAUGUAUUAAUCAGUUGUUCCAUAUAGUCCCUCCAAUAUACAAUUAAAUGAAAUUGUGAAGAAUUGUGAGAAAUUGUGAAGAAUUUAGAUUAGCUUUAUGUUACAAUAAUGAUAAACAGGGUUAGCCAAUAUUUAUUUAUAUGCUACAUUUCUGUCAUAACUCCAUUAAAAUUACAAAAAACCCCGCUAUGAAAUGUUUACAAUUAGAUGUUGUGGUACUAAUAACUAGGAAGUUGUAGUCAAAAUACAAAACCCUGAAGACUCAAAAAUCAGUCUGACUCCUAAAUUUUGGUCUAGCUCCUAGAGCCAAAGAACAUUUGCCACCUGAACAACUGCAUUUCCAUUUCCAUUUCUUAUAGACUUUGUGAAGGCAUUUUCACAUAUCAUUUCACGAGUCACUUCCAAAAUCACUGUAUUGACUCCUAUAACAAAGAAAGUAUGUGCUUCCUAGUAGCUCUUAAAUAUUAAACAAAUUGGACUGGAUCCAAGCUACUAUAAAAAAAAUAGGAAAGCCUUGAAGAAGUGAAUCCUUUCUACCUUUUCCUUCCACCACCAGCACAACAUAUCCCUCCAUUGUAAGCUGCUGCUCGGUGUAUGGGGCUCUCCAGAAUAUUAUGGUAUCAAAGUCUGUGACAAGAAGGAAGAAUUUGCCAAAACUGUUUUCCUUUACUGUUACACUAGUGGAUCAUGCUCAGUGACAGAAGCAAAAGCACACAAGACAAUUGGGUGGUGUCCAAUUUUUCUUUUCUUUUUUUUUGCUGCUGUUCCCUUGCUGCACGGCUUAUUGUUCAGGAGGACCCUUCAACAGUGGCUUUAUGGGGCUGCUGGAGAAAGGAGAAGAUAAGAAAGAUCUACUUCUAUGAAUCCCCUUCAUUCAGACACCUUGGAUGCAACCCACUGUUUUUACUUCGGAAAAUCAAUCAUUUAAGUAAUCUUUUCGUUGCGCCUUUCUUAUUCAAUAAAUAUUCUUAAUUUUAAAGGAUUAAUUACUAUUUCAGUGUAAACAGUGCAUAGAGUUUGCUUAUAUGAAUAGCAAAUAAAUUAUCAAUCAUAUUGUUAAAACUUUCCAAUAAAUUCUUUCCUAAACCUCAA